GACAUAUGAGCAUCGACACUUUGAACGCAUAUUGCGGGCUGUGAUUUGUUCACCGCCCAUGUCUGGCUCAGGGUCGGUUUGUCAUCCAUCCAGCUUCUUGCUGGCAUUGGGCAUCUCCCUCUCUCGCGAGAGGGUGGCCUCAAGUUUGACUGUGCGAGACUGCGCACGGAGUGCUGACUCUCGGGUUGUUCUUCAGCCUGGGUUGGCGUUAAGCUCCUGCGUUUGCUCGUGCUCGAGAAGGAAGAAUCUCUCUUUUUUCCCUCUCCCUUUUUUCACGACCUGAGAGCAGGCAAGGUUACCCGCCAAAUUUAAGCAUAUUAAUAAGCGGAGGAAAAG
rnacentral:misc_RNA from 1 species